GUAGUAUACUAUCAGGUACAGUAGUAUAAUAUCAGGUACAGUAGUAUAAUGUCAGGUACAGUACUAUAAUAUCAGGUACAGUAGUAUAAUAUCAGUAUCUACUGUUAUACUAUCAGGUACAGUAGUAUAAUAUCAGUAUCUAAUGGUAUAAUAUCAGGAACAGUAGUAUACUAUCAGGUACAGUAGUAUAAUAUCAGGUACAGUAGUAUAAUGUCAGGUACAGUACUAUAAUAUCAGGUACAGUAGUAUAAUAUCAGUAUCUACUGUUAUACUAUCAGGUACAGUAGUAUAAUAUCAGGUACAGUAGUAUAAUAUCAGGUACAGUAGUAUAAUAUCAGUAUCUACUGUUAUACUAUCAGGUACAGUAGUAUAAUACCAGGUACAGUAGUAUAAUAUCAGGUACAGUAGUAUAAUAUCAGGUACAGUAGUAUAAUAUCAGGAACAGUAGUAUAAUAUCAGGAACAGUAGUAUACUAUCAGGAACAGUAGUAUAAUAUCAGGUACAGUACUAUAAUAUCAGGUACAGUAGUAUAAUAUCAGUAUCUACUGUUAUACUAUCAGGUACAGUAGUAUAAUAUCAGGUACAGUAGUAUAAUAUCAGGAACAGUAGUAUAAUAUCAGUAUCUACUGUUAUACUAUCAGGUACAGUAGUAUAAUAUCAGGUACAGUAGUAUAAUAUCAGGAACAGUAGUAUAAUAUCAGGAACAGUAGUAUAAUAUCAGGAACAGUAGUAUAAUAUCAGGUACAGUAGUAUAAUAUCAGGUACAGUAGUAUAAUAUCAGUAUCUACUGUUAUACUAUCAGGUAAAGUAGUAUAAUAUCAGGUACAGUAGUAUAAUACCAGGUACAGUAGUAUAAUAUCAGGUACAGUAGUAUAAUAUCAGGUACAGUAGUAUACUAUCAGGUACAGUAGUAUAAUAUCAGGUACAGUAGUAUAAUAUCAGGUACAGUAGUAUACUAUCAGGUACAGUAGUAUAAUAUCAGGUACAGUAGUAUUAUAUCAGGUACAGUAGUAUAAUAUCAGGUACAGUAGUAUUAUAUCAGGUACAGUAGUAUAAUAUCAGGUACAGUAGUAUAAUAUCAGGUACAGUAGUAUAAUAUCAGGUACAGUAGUAUUAUAUCAGGUACAGUAGUAUAAUAUCAGGUACAGUAGUAUAAUAUCAGGUACAGUAGUAUUAUAUCAGGUACAGUAGCAUUAUAUCAGGUACAGUAGUAUAAUAUCAGGUACAGUAGUAUACUAUCAGGUACAGUAGUAUUAUAUCAGGUACAGUAGCAUUA